AGAGUUUGAUCAUGGCUCAGGACGAACGCUGGCGGCGUGCCUAAUACAUGCAAGUAGAACGCUGAAGAGAGGAGCUUGCUCUUCUUGGAUGAGUUGCGAACGGGUGAGUAACGCGUAGGUAACCUGCCUUGUAGCGGGGGAUAACUAUUGGAAACGAUAGCUAAUACCGCAUAACAAUGGAUGACCCAUGUCAUUUAUUUGAAAGGGGCAAAUGCUCCACUACAAGAUGGACCUGCGUUGUAUUAGCUAGUAGGUGAGGUAACGGCUCACCUAGGCGACGAUACAUAGCCGACCUGAGAGGGUGAUCGGCCACACUGGGACUGAGACACGGCCCAGACUCCUACGGGAGGCAGCAGUAGGGAAUCUUCGGCAAUGGGGGCAACCCUGACCGAGCAACGCCGCGUGAGUGAAGAAGGUUUUCGGAUCGUAAAGCUCUGUUGUAAGUCAAGAACGAGUGUGAGAGUGGAAAGUUCACACUGUGACGGUAGCUUACCAGAAAGGGACGGCUAACUACGUGCCAGCAGCCGCGGUAAUACGUAGGUCCCGAGCGUUGUCCGGAUUUAUUGGGCGUAAAGCGAGCGCAGGCGGUUUGAUAAGUCUGAAGUUAAAGGCUGUGGCUCAACCAUAGUUCGCUUUGGAAACUGUCAAACUUGAGUGCAGAAGGGGAGAGUGGAAUUCCAUGUGUAGCGGUGAAAUGCGUAGAUAUAUGGAGGAACACCGGUGGCGAAAGCGGCUCUCUGGUCUGUAACUGACGCUGAGGCUCGAAAGCGUGGGGAGCGAACAGGAUUAGAUACCCUGGUAGUCCACGCCGUAAACGAUGAGUGCUAGGUGUUGGAUCCUUUCCGGGAUUAAGUGCCGCAGCUAACGCAUUAAGCACUCCGCCUGGGGAGUACGACCGCAAGGUUGAAACUCAAAGGAAUUGACGGGGGCCCGCACAAGCGGUGGAGCAUGUGGUUUAAUUCGAAGCAACGCGAAGAACCUUGCCAGGUCUUGACAUCCCGAUGCUAUUUCUAGAGAUAGAAAGUUACUUCGGUACAUCGGUGACAGGUGGUGCAUGGUUGUCGUCAGCUCGUGUCGUGAGAUGUUGGGUUAAGUCCCGCAACGAGCGCAACCCCUAUUGUUAGUUGCCAUCAUUCAGUUGGGCACUCUAGCGAGACUGCCGGUAAUAAACCGGAGGAAGGUGGGGAUGACGUCAAAUCAUCAUGCCCCUUAUGACCUGGGCUACACACGUGCUACAAUGGUUGGUACAACGAGUUGCGAGUCGGUGACGGCAAGCUAAUCUCUUAAAGCCAAUCUCAGUUCGGAUUGUAGGCUGCAACUCGCCUACAUGAAGUCGGAAUCGCUAGUAAUCGCGGAUCAGCACGCCGCGGUGAAUACGUUCCCGGGCCUUGUACACACCGCCCGUCACACCACGAGAGUUUGUAACACCCGAAGUCGGUGAGGUAACCUUUUGGAGCCAGCCGCCUAAGGUGGGAUAGAUGAUUGGGGUGAAGUCGUACAAGGUA
rnacentral:rRNA from 1 species